AUCUCAACCUUAUUCCUCAUAAAAUGCAAAUUGUCCCCGUUUAGAAAAUUUCCAAAUUAUCUUCUAAUCAAGAUCAAGAUUCUAUAACAAUUCAAGAUUUCAAACUGAAAUCAAUCCAAUUCUUGUUCAAUUUCAGUCCGGGCGACAGAAAAUGAAGCAGAAGAAGAAGCGACUCCACGCCAGCUUUAAGAACGUUUAAGGUGGGCAUUACUUU